rnacentral:rRNA from 1 species
UACGUAGGUGGCAAGCGUUGUCCGGAAUUACUGGGUGUAAAGGGAGCGCAGGCGGGAAGCCAAGUCAGCUGUGAAAACUACGGGCUUAACUUGUAGACUGCAGUUGAAACUGGUUUUCUUGAGUGAAGUAGGGGUUGGCGGAAUUCCGAGUGUAGCGGUGAAAUGCGUAGAUAUUCGGAGGAACACCGGUGGCGAAGGCGGCCAACUGGGCUUUAACUGACGCUGAGGCUCGAAAGUGUGGGGAGCAAACAGG